GUUUCAUUAGUAUAUUUAAUUAAGUACAGUUAACUUCCAAUUAACAAGUUUAUAUUUUAAAUGAAAUU
rnacentral:tRNA from 1 species